rnacentral:lncRNA from 1 species
CCGCGCUCAGCCCUCCGCCCGGAGCCUGGAGCCCGGGCAGCGCCACCAAGCGGAGGGAAAAGCGCGGGCGGAGCUGAGGGGAGAGGCGGGGCGGGAAGUUGUCCUGGCGCCGAGCUGCGCUUGUGUGGGGAUGGCGCCGAGGGCUGUCGGGAGAAUGCCAGUCUCUGGGCAUAAAUAAUAAAUACGUGAAAUCCCCAAGGACUCUGCAUGCAAGGGUGAUCAGCUGUAAUCUCAUUUGUAACAAACAGAUGGCAUGGUUCUAG